ACCGGGGAGCCCGUAAGAGCGGGCUGAGAGUUGGCUGUGCUGCCAAGACCCGUAUACCUGAUUUGGAUAAUGCCAACGUAGGAAGAAAUG
rnacentral:ncRNA from 1 species